rnacentral:rRNA from 1 species
AGUCUAUGCCAUACCACCCUGAAUGUGUCCAAUUUUGUCUGAUCCCAGAAACUAAGCAGGGCCAGGUCUGGUAAGUACUUGAAUGAUGUACAUUUUAAGUUAGUCUCUGAGUAAAAGAGGCACCUGAUCUC